UGGUGAUGUUCAUACCUCUUGAGCCUG
rnacentral:piRNA from 1 species